rnacentral:lncRNA from 1 species
GCCACUACUGCGUACGCGAACCCAACCUCCUCCCUCCCGUGCGUGCGUGCGUGCGCGUGCGCGAGAUUGCUUGGCUUCCCCUUCCCACGCGUCGCGUCUCCUCUCGCGCCGUCUCGGCCUCGACUCGAUAGUCGAUACCCCCUCUCCUCCUCUCCUCUUCACCUCGGUCUCCGUCUCCUCUUCACACCUUCCUCCACCUUCGUUUCCCCCUCUCCCCUUCCCUCCCCUUCUCUCUUCCCCAGCUCACGCCGACCGCGCGAUCCCCCUGGUUGGUUGGUUGCUUCCUUCAUCCACUUCUCGCCGCCGAUUCUUCCAUUUCUCGAUUCCGAUGAGGUU